GACGUAGGGUGCAAGCGUUGUCCGGAAUUAUUGGGCGUAAAGCGCGCGUAGGCGGCCGCUUAAGUCGGAUGGUGAAAGCCCCUGGCUCAACUGGGGAAGUGCACCCGAAACUGAGUGGCUUGAGUACUAAAGAGGGUCGCGGAAUUCCCGGUGUAGAGGUGAAAUUCGUAGAUAUCGGGAGGAACACCGGUGGCGAAGGCGGCGACCUGGGUAGAUACGUGACGCUGAGGCGCGAAAGCGUGGGGAGCAAACAGG
rnacentral:rRNA from 1 species